rnacentral:rRNA from 1 species
CGCGAAGGCGGUGGACAUGUGGUUUAUUCGAUGCAACGCGAAGAACCUUACCUACUCUUGACAUCCAGAGAACUUUCCAGAGAUGGAUUGGUGCCUUCGGGAACUCUGAGACAGGUGCUGCAUGGCUGUCGUCAGCUCGUGUUGUGAAAUGUUGGGUUAAGUCCCGCAACGAGCGCAACCCUUAUCCUUUGUUGCCAGCGGUUAGGCCGGGAACUCAAAGGAGACUGCCAGUGAUAAACUGGAGGAAGGUGGGGAUGACGUCAAGUCAUCAUGGCCCUUACGAGUAGGGCUACACACGUGCUACAAUGGCGCAUACAAAGAGAAGCGACCUCGCGAGAGCAAGCGGACCUCAUAAAGUGCGUCGUAGUCCGGAUUGGAGUCUGCAACUCGACUCCAUGAAGUCGGAAUCGCUAGUAAUCGUAGAUCAGAAUGCUACGGUGAAUACGUUCCCGGGCUGGGGGAUCCCGA